CACCAUCACCUCCACAACAACAAUGUUAACGAGAGACUGAAAACAAAACCAAAUUCCCCACAUACCAAUCCAAACCUCUCUCGAUCGAAAUCUCAAAUCGCCGAUAAGGUUAUUCGCUUCGCUUCGAUUCUGCUUUUAAUGUAAAUUGUUUUCAGAAAACAAUUUCUGUUCUCUGAAAGUAAGUUUGGACUGCGUGUCGGUUUCUCAUUGUUGAAAUUACUUGAAUUUUUAUUUUUUGAAUUUGGUUUGUCAGGUAAUUUUCUGCUGCCAUUUCUUGUUGUAAAGAUUGCUGUUUUUUGUGGCGCAGGUGGACAUAGCAUGAUGAUCUUUAGGUUUAGGUUUAGGUUUAUGUAUUUAAUGUUGCUUUUUACAUAGUUCAUCUGAUCACUAUAUUUGGUACAUGUAAUGUCUAUAUAAAUAGAGAGAGAGGAUUUAUAUUUACAAAAAUGUUGAUAUAUAACAUAGGUGAUAUCAAUUGUGGCAGUUUCCAUUAACAUAGUCAUUACAAGAAUUCAAUGGAAUGUAUGCAUCAUGUCUCAUCAUAUACUUGUUAUCAGUAACUCUUAAAUUACUGCAAGGUAGUUCUAUCUCUCUCUAUACAAAUUUUUGAAUGGUUUCCAAUUCUCUUAGUCUUUGUUUGGAUCAUUAUGGAUUUGAGUAGGGAUUUGGAAAGAGAAAUGAAACACAACAUUAAUCUCAUCAUUCUUCUGCAUUGCUAGAAAGUCAAUUAGUCCCUGUCCUCCUCCAGUGAAACUAUUGGAGAAUUGUGUCUCCUGGUGAUGUUGUAGAGGUGUUUCAGAAUUUUUCUUGGAAGAUGGCAACUGUUUCUAAGGUUUUGUGUAGGAAUUGCCUUUUGGUUAGGUUACUUGGAUCCUCCCAUGAAUUCAAAGUCAGUAAAGAUGACCUCCGGGUGCGACAAUCUUGGCAGGGUGGCAAAUGGUUCGUGAUUGGCAAGGGAUGAAGUAGGAAGUUUGCACACCUUGCUUUGGGGUUUGCCACUUUCUCUUGCUGCAGACAAGUGUUCAUUCUCAGCAUCGAACCAACAACAAAUAGUAGAGCUUAUGAUGAGCUACUGGAUGCAGAACCAGAGUUAUGCAGCUGCCAAGGGAUGUCCUGAUAUGUGACUACUUGAAAGGGAUUGCAUGUCAAGCCAGCAGCUAGUAGAUUUUCUACAUGAGCAGUUGAACACACGAGCUCUGUGGUAUGUGAAAGAGUACUUGAUAGGUGUUUGGCACCAUCUAUUUCUGGCGGUGAGGGAUGUGACAACAUGACCAUGAUCUUGGUGCAGUUCAAGAAACCCCAUGAGUGCUGCUGCCGCUGCUGAUGCAGAUGAGAAAUCCUCGACUUCUGAUCAUGGAAAUCAGUCUGCUACUGCAGCUGCAGACGAGAAAUCCUCAACUUCUAACAUAGCCGAUACUGAAUUGAAACCAGCGGAAACUGAGUCAACCCCAUGACAAGUUUAUCAAUGUGUCGUCAGAUUGCGUUGGUGCAAGCUGUAGUUCCAAGGAUAUUCAAGAAUCCUUGGUUGUCUCUGUAACUGAAGACAGUUUGGCUGGUAAAGAUGGGCCGGUUACAAAUUUACGAUUGAGAUUCGCUGUGUGGUGUGUUUUUUUCCUUUUUCUAUACGAUAUUAUAAUUGCAAGUAACUUGCACAAAAUAGAUCUGGAUCAAAGUUGUUCAACUGUCAUCUAGUUUAGCAGUCUAUAUUAGCUUGAUAAUGGUUUUUAUAUACCCUGCUUGUUUUUUCUUCAAAAUCAUUGGUUCUUUUCUGCUAAA